GAAACUCACCAGGUCCAGACAUGCUUAGGAUUGACAGAUUGAUAGCUCUUUCUUGAUUGUAUGGGUGGUGGUGCAUGGCCGUUUUUAGUUGGUGGAGUGAUUUGUCUGCUUAAUUGCGAUAACGAACGAGACCUUGACCUGCUAAAUAGCCCAACUCACUUUUGUGGGUUGCUGGCUUCUUAGAGGGACUUUUGGCUCAAGCCAAUGGAAGUACGAGGCAAAAA
rnacentral:rRNA from 1 species